rnacentral:rRNA from 1 species
UACGAAGGGGGCUAGCGUUGCUCGGAAUUACUGGGCGUAAAGGGCGCGUAGGCGGAUGUUUAAGUCAGCGGUGAAAUCCCGGGGCUCAACCUCGGAACUGCCUUUGAUACUGGCUAUCUUGAGUAUGGGAGAGGUGUGUGGAACUCCGAGUGUAGAGGUGAAAUUCGUAGAUAUUCGGAAGAACACCAGUGGCGAAGGCGACACACUGGCCCAUUACUGACGCUGAGGCUCGAAAGCGUGGGGAGCAAACAGG